rnacentral:rRNA from 1 species
AAUGCAGUCGAGCGGACAGAAGGGAGCUUGCUCCCGGAUGUUAGCGGCGGACGGGUGAGUAACACGUGGGUAACCUGCCUGUAAGACUGGGAUAACUCCGGGAAACCGGAGCUAAUACCGGAUAGUUCCUUGAACCGCAUGGUUCAAGGAUGAAAGACGGUUUCGGCUGUCACUUACAGAUGGACCCGCGGCGCAUUAGCUAGUUGGUGAGGUAACGGCUCACCAAGGCGACGAUGCGUAGCCGACCUGAGAGGGUGAUCGGCCACACUGGGACUGAGACACGGCCCAGACUCCUACGGGAGGCAGCAGUAGGGAAUCUUCCGCAAUGGACGAAAGUCUGACGGAGCAACGCCGCGUGAGUGAUGAAGGUUUUCGGAUCGUAAAGCUCUGUUGUUAGGGAAGAACAAGUGCAAGAGUAACUGCUUGCACCUUGACGGUACCUAACCAGAAAGCCACGGCUAACUACGUGCCAGCAGCCGCGGUAAUACGUAGGUGGCAAGCGUUGUCCGGAAUUAUUGGGCGUAAAGGGCUCGCAGGCGGUUUCUUAAGUCUGAUGUGAAAGCCCCCGGCUCAACCGGGGAGGGUCAUUGGAAACUGGGAAACUUGAGUGCAGAAGAGGAGAGUGGAAUUCCACGUGUAGCGGUGAAAUGCGUAGAGAUGUGGAGGAACACCAGUGGCGAAGGCGACUCUCUGGUCUGUAACUGACGCUGAGGAGCGAAAGCGUGGGGAGCGAACAGGAUUAGAUACCCUGGUAGUCCACGCCGUAAACGAUGAGUGCUAAGUGUUAGGGGUUUCCGCCCCUUAGUGCUGCAGCUAACGCAUUAAGCACUCCGCCU